CACACCAAACGGUGUCUGGUC
rnacentral:miRNA from 1 species